ACAGCCGUUGCACACGAGUCAGUCGAUCCUAAGCCCCAGGUGAAAACCUAUGUUGAUGUUGGUGUAAUUUUAUUUUAUUAAUGAAAUCUCACACCCAUCGGGCGAAAGGGAAUCCGGUU
rnacentral:rRNA from 2 species